rnacentral:tRNA from 1 species
UGGCCCAUGGGGGGAUCGAACCCACGACCUUCGCGUUAUUAGCACGACGCUCUAAUCAAAUGAGCUAAUGGGCC